UAGCCCACCCGUCUGGCAGGCAGCAUUUCAAUCCUCCUAUGCCUUCUUUCUCCUCUUGUGGUCUUUCUUCUGAAACAAGGAAGAAACAGUCAAAUUAGAUUUGCCCUCUUGGAAAUGUGGUCCAGAUUGCUCUACUCCCAAGCUCCAGAAAA
rfam:Equus caballus cont2.24754, whole genome shotgun sequence.